rnacentral:rRNA from 1 species
GUUGUUCGGAAUUACUGGGCGUAAAGGGCGCGUAGGCGGCUUGUCAAGUCGAACGUGAAAUCCCCGGGCUCAACCCGGGAACUGCGUCCGAUACUGGCAGGCUUGAAUCCGGGAGAGGGAUGCGGAAUUCCAGGUGUAGCGGUGAAAUGCGUAGAUAUCUGGAGGAACACCGGUGGCGAAGGCGGCAUCCUGGACCGGCAUUGACGCUGAGGAGCGAAAGCGAGGGGAGCAAACGGG